AUUGAACGCUGGCGGAAUGCUUUACACAUGCAAGUCGAGCGGCAGCGCGGCCUUCGGGCUGGCGGCGAGCGGCGAACGGGUGAGUAAUGCAUCGGAACAUGCCCAGUCGUGGGGGAUAACACUUCGAAAGAAGUGCUAAUACCGCAUACGUCCUGUGGGGGAAAGCGGGGGAUCGCAAGACCUCGCGCGAUUGGAGUGGCCGAUGUCAGAUUAGCUAGUUGGUGGGGUAAAGGCCUACCAAGGCGGCGAUCUGUAGCUGGUCUGAGGGGAUGAUCAGCCACCCUGGGGGUGAGGCGCGGCCCAGCCGCCUACGGGGGGCGGCAGUGGGGGAUUUUAGACAAUGGGGGGAACCCUGAUCCAGCCGUGCCGGGGGGGGGAAGAAGGCCUUCGGGGUGUUAAGAUCCUUCGGCGGGGACGAAAAGGGUGGCGCUAACAGAGGCCGGGAAUGACGGUACCUGAAGAAGAAGCACCGGCUAACUACGUG
rnacentral:rRNA from 1 species